rnacentral:rRNA from 1 species
CCUACGGGAGGCAGCAGUGGGGAAUCUUGCGCAAUGGGCGAAAGCCUGACGCAGCGACGCCGCGUGAGGGAAGAAGGCCUUCGGGUUGUAAACCUCUUUCAGGAGGGACGAAGCCACUCGGGUUAAUAGCCCAGAGGGUGACGGUACCUCCAGAAGAAGCCCCGGCUAACUACGUGCCAGCAGCCGCGGUAAUACGUAGGGGGCUAGCGUUGUCCGGAUUUAUUGGGCGUAAAGAGCGUGUAGGCGGCCAGGUAGGUCUGCUGUGAAAACUCGAGGCUCAACCUCGAGACGUCGGCGGAAACCAUCUGGCUAGAGUCCGGAAGAGGAGAGUGGAAUUCCUGGUGUAGCGGUGAAAUGCGCAGAUAUCAGGAAGAACACCCGUGGCGAAGGCGGCUCUCUGGGACGGUACUGACGCUGAGACGCGAAAGCGUGGGGAGCGA